ensembl:lncRNA
AGAUACUCUAAGUGUUUGUGGGAGGAAGAUAGGCUGUACUGGAGUCCUUUCCUGGCUCCAGAGCCCUGGGCAGGAAGGAGGCCUCCUUUACAAGCUCUUCUGGGCAGUGUGAGCAGACAGCAUCCCCGGAGAGGGAUGCUUUAAUGGUGAUGCUGGAGGAGAGACAGGAAUGGUGGGGAGAAAGGAACUUUCCAAGUUCAGAGCGGGUCAUCCACACAGCCAGUCUCAGACACUGAGGCGAACUCUUGCGGGAAGAACAGAGCUAUGUCCAUCUGUGAAGAAUAGAGAACCAUUUUAGAAUGGAUGGUGGGCUUCCUUAGUUUAUACACAUACAUCCAUACCUAUUUGCUGAACAGGUAUUAUAAUCACUCCUUUCCUAUAUUAUCUUAUUUAAUGUUGACAUCAACUUUGCCAAGUGGUUGUUUAUACUUCCAGGCCAGGGGGGAAGAAACAAAAACUUGGAAACAGUAAGUAACUUGCCCGAGGUCAAAGGGCAGAGCCAGAAUUCAGACUCAGGCCGAGGGCCUACUGCUCCGUCAUCCUGUAAAACAUUAUGCUUGAGGAGUUCCCGUCAUGGCUCAGUGGUUAACGAAUCCGACUAGGAACCAUGAAGUUGUGGGUUCGAUCCCUGGCCUCGCUCAGUGGGUUAAGGAUCCGGCGUUGCCGUGAGCUGUGGUGUGGGUUGCAGAUGCGGCUCGGAUCCCACGUUGCUGUGCCUCUGACGUAGGCCUGUGGCUACAGCUCCGAUUGGACCCCUAGCCUGGGAAUCUCCACAUGCCGUGGGUGUGGCCCUAGAAUAGGCAAAAAGACAAACAAACAAACAAAAAAUUAUACUUGAGAGCUCGGUGGAUGUGCUGCUUUCCUCCAUUGCCUACUUUCCUGCUUGGUUCACGUGGUUGUCUUUCCCUCCUUGUUUUGCAGCCACCGCUGUCUCCACUACCUUCUCUGCUGGACUGAUACAGGCCAGGCUCCUUUCUAGGACAUCUCGUGUGAUUCAUGAGAGGUGUGGUGUCUACUUCUGCAGCCUCACGUCUCACAACCAUCGGCCUUCCUCCCUGCAUCACUUUGUCUUUACCCCACCGGACCCAGUUAUCCUGGCACUUCUUGCCUUGCAUUCCUCGUUUGCCUUUUCACAUUCGGUUAUCCCCUCCUCCUGGAAAUCUGUCUUCCCCAACCUGUGCCCCUCCCUCCCACCUCCCUUCACCUGGCUAGAUCCAACCCAUCCCCAGUCUCAGCCAAGACACCAGAUUCUCCUCACCAAGCCCUGCAGUCUGGAUUGAACGCUCUUGCUAUGGACUCCUAAAGCAUCCUUACCGCCCCCUGUGCUGUCACUUACCUCUCUGUAGUAGAACUGUCUGAAUCUUUUCGACUGGAAUCUUCCAUUAGAAUAUAAGCUCCAGGAGGGCAGGGCUGUGUCACGCCCACUGUUUGGUACCCAGCACCCUGGAGAUUGGCUCCUGGCAAGCAUUCCAGGAGGAGCUGAAUGACAUAUAAAAAUGCCGCUACUCCUACAACGAAUAACAACCGAUAUAACAACCGAUAUUUAUUGAGUGCUUUCAUGUGCCGGAAACUAGGCUAAGUGCUUGACGUGCAUCGCCUAAUUUAUAUUAGUUCUUGUACGAAUUGAAUGAGAUGAGAAACAAGGGAUUCUAAUCCUGGCUCUGCCUCUAGCUGCCUGUGUGACUUUCGGCAGUUCCCAUGGUUUCCUCAUCCUCAGAAUGAAGGAGAGGGAAGGGGCAGGUAGAAUGCAUUCGUCGUUCUUUUUCCUAUAGGCAGAAAGGGAAUCAAGAGUCAGUCUGGGCCGGGCCCAGGGGAAUCAACCCUCAGGAUUCAGAGAACCGGCGGGCACAGAGGGUCAACCGUCUAGUCCGGGAGCAGAAGAGGGAUCUGGCCGCGAGGCUGGGAAGGGCAGCGGGUUGCUCUCCCAUGCUGUGGCUGAGCUUCCAAAUAGAGAGGCCCGCUGCUCACUGAGUCAUUAUGCUGGUCUCCUGGCCGUCACCUCGGGCAUUGUCUGAUUUAAGUGUAAUAGCUUGUUUGGUGGAUUUUGCCUUCUAUAGAAAUCCCCCCAAGAGUGAAGUGCGGCAUUCAGCCGGGAGAGCACAGGCCUUUGUGCGCUGAUGGCCCGGCCUCUACUGAAUGUGUUUGGAGUUGGUUAUCAAAGGGGAGGAUAAAUUAGAGCACAGGGCUGCGUAGGGAGGAAGAGGGGGCCCUUUCAUGAGCAGAGCUGAGCACUUAGGCAGCUGACUUGGGGCUGGGGAGCCCCGGGGCUGGCCCUCUGGACUUUGGCAGUGGGAGGCAGCAGGCAGGCCUGACUGUACCCUGACUGAGCCCCAGUUUUGAGAUCCCACUAGAUCCUGAGUGGGGGCAGCAGGAGGAGGGGCAGCAAGGGAUAUUGAUGACAAAGUAGCUUCAAGGACUUGGAGGAGGGCUGCUGGGGGGCUGGUGAGCUUAGCACCUUCUCUCCUUGUCCUAGUCUCUCUUUCGGUCCAUUUUUUUUUUUUUUUUUGCUUUUUAGGGCCGCAUCUGCAGCAUAUGGAGGUUCCCAGCCUAGGGGUAGAAUUGGAGCUGCAACUGCCAGCCGCAGCCAUAGCGACUCGGGAUCCCAGCCUCGUCUGUGACCUACACCACAGCUCACGGCACCAUUGGGUCCUUUAACCCACUGAUGGAGGCCAGGGAUCAAACCCACAUCCUCGUGGACACUAGUCCAGUUCUUAACCCACUGAGCCACAACAGGAACUCCUCUUUCAGUCCAAUUUGCAUAGUUGCAUAAGCCUAAGCCCUCCUGGCCCCCCUCCCUGGGAUUUAUUUGAAAUUAUGUUCUGAGGGCACUGAAGGCUCCAAGGGGCCUCUUUAGUCUCCAGGAUGCUGUUCAGGGGCGUCACCCCCAUCUGCCUCCCUCCAUCCCUCCUCACCCACUUACCCGCUGGCUCUCAGGGCAGUUUUAUGGGGUGCACUAGUCAGUCAGGGACGUGGAGCUCCCAAAAUAAGCGAUCCUGGGCAUUCGACCCUCUCUGUGGUCUUGGCUUCUGAUGUCCAGAUUGAGAGGCCAAGCUGGGCACAGCUGUCAGCUGAGCCACCGGCAGGGCUGCUGAAAUAGUAAAUUGUACUGAGUGCCCAGUUUUGUUUUUUGGGUUUUUUUUUUCCUCUUAAGAAUGUUUCCUUCUGUUUUUCAGUGGAUCUUUCUCCCCAUGUUUGUGUCCCUGGGCUCCUCACUGACAGCUUCUUGUCAUGUGGGGUCUUGAUCCGCAAGCUCACUCCUCAGGGAACCAGAGAACUUCUCUUUGCCCAUUAGAACCUAACUCUGAACAGGAUCAUUUUCCCCUGGAAGGAACCCAAGACACAAAGCUAUAUUCCUAUUUUUAAAACCUGUUUGGAGUUGCAGAUACUGUAAAGAAUUGUCUGAGGAGCUCCCAUAGUGGCUCAGCAGUAGCAAACCUGACUAGGAUCCAUGAGGAUACAGGUUUUAUCCUUGGCCUUGCUCACUGGUUUAAGGAUCCGGUGUUGCCGUGAGCUGCUGUGUAGGUCACAGACAUGGCUCAGAUCUGGAGCUGCUGUGGCUGUGGUGUAGACUGGCAGCUGCAGCUCCCCUUUGAACCCUAGCCUGGGAACUUCCAUAUGCCCUGGGUGUGGUCCUAAAAAUAAAAAAAAAAAAAAAACCUCCUGAUUUCUCA